rnacentral:rRNA from 2 species
UGGGCCUCAAAUAAUGUGUGACUACCCC